rnacentral:rRNA from 1 species
UACGAAGGGGGCUAGCGUUGUUCGGAAUUACUGGGCGUAAAGCGCGCGCAGGCGGCUAUCCAAGUCAGUGGUGAAAGCCCGGAGCUCAACUCCGGAACUGCCAUUGAAACUGUUUAGCUUGAGGAUGAGAGAGGUGAUUGGAAUUCCCAGUGUAGAGGUGAAAUUCGUAGAUAUUGGGAAGAACACCGGUGGCGAAGGCGGCUCACUGGCCCAUUACUGACGCUCAGGCGCGAUAGCGUGGGGAUCAAACAGG